AGUGAACGCUGGCGGUAGGCCUAACACAUGCAAGUCGAACGGCAGCACAGUAAGAGCUUGCUCUUACGGGUGGCGAGUGGCGGACGGGUGAGGAAUACAUCGGAAUCUACUUUUUCGUGGGGGAUAAUGUAGGGAAACUUACGCUAAUACCGCAUACGACCUACGGGUGAAAGCAGGGGAUCUUCGGACCUUGCGCGAUUGAAUGAGCCGAUGUCGGAUUAGCUAGUUGGCGGGGUAAAGGCCCACCAAGGCGAUGAUCCGUAGCUGGUCUGAGAGGAUGACAGCCACCCCGGGAACUGAGCAGCGGCCAAGACCCCUCGGGGGGGGGCAAGGGGGAAUUUUUGGAAAAGGGGCGAAGGCUGGACCAACCCAUCCCGGGGGGGGGAAGAAGGCUUUCGGUUUUAAAACCCUUUUUGUGGGAAAAAAAAAGCAGCAGUUUAAUCCCCGGUUUUCUGGAGGGUACCAAAAAAAAAAGCCCCGGCAACCUUCGUG
rnacentral:rRNA from 1 species